AAUAUUGGACAAUGGGGGCAACCCUGAUCCAGCUAUGCCGCGUGUGUGAAGAAGGUCUUCGGAUUGUAAAGCACUUUAAGUGGGGAGGAAGGGCUUUAGGCUAAUACCCUGAAGUUUUGACGUUACCAACAGAAUACGACGCGGAUAACCCUGUGACAGGAGCCGCGGUAAUACAGGGGGUGCAAGCGUUAAUCGGAAUUACUGGGCGUAAAGCGCGCGUAGGUGGUUCAGUAAGAUGGGUGUGAAAUCCCCGGGCUUAACCUGGGAACUGCUUUCAUAACUGCUGAGCUAGAGUACGGUAGAGGAUGGUGGAAUUUCCUGUGUAGCGGUGAAAUGCGUGGUUAUAGGAAGGAACACCAGUGGCGAAGGCGACUACCUGGACUGAUACUGACACUGAGGUGCGAAAGCGUGGGGAGCAAACA
rnacentral:rRNA from 1 species